UUAAGCUACAAAGAGCGUAGGGAGAAUGCCUAGGUACCAAGAGCCGAUGAAGGACGUGAUAAGCUGCGAAAAGCUACGGGGAGGAGCAAAUAUCCAUCAAUCCGUAGAUGUCCGAAUGAGGGAACUCAUAUGGCAAAAAGAAGCCAUAUAUCUAUGUACAAGUAAAGUAGUACAUAAGAAGGGAACGUGGGGAACUGAAACAUCUAAGUACCCAUAGGAAGAGAAAAUAAACAAUGAUUUCUGUAGUAGUGGCGAGCGAACCAGAAAGAGCCCAAACCAUAAGUAGAAAUACAUAUGGGGUACGGACUACCAUAAACUACUAACAAGUCUAAUAGAAUCAUCUGGGAAGGUGAACCAAAGACGGUGAAAGUCCAGUAUAUGAAAGAUAAGUUAGGGUAGGUAGAAUCCAGAGUAGUGCGAGACACAGGGAAUCUCGUAUGAAAGAGCGGGGACCAUCCCGUAAGGCUAAAUACUACUUGGUAACCGAUAGUGAACGAGUACCGUGAGGGAAAGGUGAAAAGGACCCCGGGAGGGGAGUGAAAGAGAACCUGAAACCCUAUGUUUACAAGCAGAUAGAGCGAUUUAAGGCGCGAUAUCGUACUUUUUGUAGAACGGUCCAGCGAGUUAUUGUAUGUGGCGAGGUUAAAUUCUAAGAAGGAAUGGAGCCGAAGAGAAAUCGAGUCUGAAAAGGGCGAAUAAGUCAUAUAUAAUAGACCCGAAACCGGGUGACCUAUCCAUGGUCAGGAUGAAGCUAAAGUAAAAUUUAGUGGAGGUCCGAACUGAUUGUCGUUAAAAAGGCACCGGAUGAACUGUGGAUAGCGGAGAAAUUCCAAUCGAACUCGGAGAUAGCUGGUUCUCCUCGAAAUAGCUUUAGGGCUAGCCUUGAGGUAAAACAUGUGGGGGUAGAGCACUGAAUGAUUUAGGGGCCAAACCAGGUUACCGACAUCUAUCAAACUGCGAAUACCAUGUGGAAGUACUCAGGAGUCAGACUGCGGGAGCUAAGUUCCGUGGUCAAAAGGGAAAGAGCCCAGACCGACAAUUAAGGUCCCAAAGAGAUAGUUAAGUGGAAAACGAUGUGAAAAUGCAAAGACAACCAGGAUGUUGGCUUAGAAGCAGCCAUACAUUAAAAGAGUGCGUAACAGCUCACUGGUCGAGUGAAUUUGCGCGGAAAAUUACCGGGGCUAAACUAUCCACCGAAAUUACGGAUUGCAGUACAUUUAACAAUGUAUGCGGAAAGAGAAAAGAAGAAAGAAGUAUAUAUUGUUAAGUGUACUGUAGUGGUAGAGGAGCAUUCUGUAGUAGGAAGAAGCCAAAGCGAGAGCAUUAGUGGACGAGACAGAAGAGAGAAUGCUGGAAUAAGUAGCGAGAGCAAGGUGAGAAUCCUUGCCGUCGAAAGUCUAAGGUUUCCUGGGGAAGGUUCGUCCGCCCAGGGUAAGUCGGGACCUAAGGAGAGGCCGAGAAGGCGUAUCUGAUGGACAGCAGGUUGAAAUUCCUGCACUACCGAUACUUUAAAAAACGUCAAGGGACGCAGGAGAGGAAGGAAAGCGAGGAAGAGGAAAGACUCGUAUCGAAAGAUAUAGUGAAAAAAUGAAGUAACGAAUUUCCAAGAAUCACACUGACGAGAAAAGCUUGAUGACAUUAAGUAAAGGUACCCGUACCGCAAACCGACACAGGUAGAUGAGGAGAGGAUCCUAAGACGAACGGGAGAAGCAUUGUUAAGGAACUCGGCAAAAUGACCCCGUAACUUCGGGAGAAGGGGAACCUAGGUAAAACUAGGUCGCAGAGAAAAGGCCCAAGCAACUGUUUAACAAAAACACAGGUUUCUGCUAAAUCGAAAGAUGAAGUAUAGGAGCUGACGCCUGCCCAGUGCUGGAAGGUCAAGGGGAGAUGUUAGAAGAAAUUCGAAGCAUAGAACCAAAGCCCCAGUGAACGGCGGCCGUAACUAUAACGGUCCUAAGGUAGCGAAAUUCCUUGUCAGGUAAGUUCUGACCCGCACGAAAGGCGUAAUGAUUUGGGCACUGUCUCGACAAUGUACCCGGCGAAAUUGUAGUACUAGUGAAGAUGCUAGUUACCUGCGACAAGACAGAAAGACCCCAUGGAGCUUUACUGUAGUUUGAUAUUGGGUUUUGGUAAUUUAUGUACAGGAUAGGUGGGAGACAGAGAAGGAUGUGCGUCAGCAUAUCUGGAGUCAACGUUGGGAUACCACUCUUAAGUUAUUGAAAUUCUAACUUGUGAUCAUAAACUGGUCAGAGGACAAUGUCAGACGGGCAGUUUGACUGGGGCGGUCGCCUCCAAAAGAGUAACGGAGGCG
rnacentral:rRNA from 1 species